GCGGUCGUGGUGAAGUCGGUUAACACACUAGAUUGUGGCUCUAGCACUCGCGGGUUCGAGUCCCGUCGAUCGCCCCA
rnacentral:tRNA from 1 species